UUUUGUUUUUUUUGCUUUCUAAAUCUUAAUUUUAUGUAUACCCGGCCCAGUUUCAGAUAUAUUUUCCUUCUAACUCUAAGGCCCAAUUUUAGGUCUAUUUUCUUUCUAGACCUAAGGCCCAAUUUCAGAAUCUGAAAUUUUAAAUUUAUCUGUCCUAAUUUCGAACCUUCGGAAAUCCGUUAAACAUGUCUACAACUGUUUCAAUAGUACAUCCCCGUAGUUUUUAACCUCAUCUUUGUUCAUGCACAAGAAACACAAUAUUCUUGUCCUAAAUUAAUAUGCCCUAAUUUCGAAUGUUUUAAAAUCCGGUUAACCUCUUUACACAUGCACAAGUACACCACCGUAAUUUCUAACCUCGUUAAGAUUUUGUCUUUGCACAUACUCUAAAAGCAGCUCAGUACUCCAUAAUUUUUUUUUUAAUUUUUUUUUUCAUUUCAAUAUAUGACGAAACUAAUGGCUGACUAUAUGGAAUUUCUCGAAGCUUUUUGGAAGGAUUUAACUGAGAUAGACCCUAACUAUUUCAAUAUGGGUCGUACCUUCCGAUUUUGGAUGGUGAGAUACUGGGUUUAGACGAUUUCGUGAUUCCCGAUGUCGAGGGUUUAAAUGAUUUUGUGGUUAAUGUGAAUGAGGACGAAGAGGAUGAAGAGGAGCUUGCGGAUGCAGGGAGUGUGUUUAAUAGGCCAUCAUGGCAUUUUGAUGAUUUAGUGCGCCUUCCCAGUGGCUCUCCGGAGCAGUAUUUCUUUCUUGCUAUGGUAUAUUUGACGAUUGGUUUAAGCUUGUCCAUCAUCGUUCUUGGGGGUUUAUUCAAGUUCCGUGUUGGCUUGUUAUCCUUUAUUGUUUUUUCUGGCCUUUGCACUCCAUCUAGAUUGGGCCCAACUACCAGAGUAGAAGAUUUUACUCUUUGUGAUGAUUACUGGGAGUUUUUCUUAUUCUGUUGGGAUGGUUUGUCGGUUUGCUGUUAAGUCUAUUUCCACCUUUAAUCCUCUGUAAGAAGUUUGUAAGGUUGUGUCAUUUAUUAACAUAAUCUUGUUUUGUGGACGCUAAUUGAUGUUGGAUAAUUUUGAUUGGUUCGAAACAGAUUAUGGUUUAUCGUGUCUUCUGGGUGGGCUUUCUGUUUAUUGGUGUUUGCUGUCGGAGCGAUGUUUUUAGGCAGAGGUGCUAUGCCAUUUGGUGUACCCUGUUUAUCUUGGUUGUGUCGGGUGUCUUUCUACUUAUCAGCUGUACUAUUGUGUUACCUUUGUCGUAUAUGUGGAAGGUACUUUUAUUUUACAUACAUUCUUGUAUCUUUACUAUUGACUGGUUAUUUUCAUUGCUUUUAACAUUUCUUUUUAUUUUAAUUUUAGGUUUUUGUGUCGCAAGUUUUGAUUUGUUUGUAUGUUAUCUUGUUCACUCAAGAUAUGUUGUAUGACUAUGAAGUCAAUUUAGCGCAUGGGCUUGACGAUGGUUGUCGCCAUGUAUUCACAUUUUAUAGUGGGAUUUUCACUUUUUUGCGUCGCAUGGUGAGUUUUUACUGCUUAUUGUAUGAAUAUACUCAAGUGUUUACACAGUCUUUAAUGGUUAAUAUUGUCUUCAUUAGCUGGAUUUAUGUUUUGGCGUUGGAGUUCCUUCUGGUGGAGGUGGUGCUGUCGGUUGAGGUCCUACUUGAUGUAGUGAGUUACACGUCAAGUUAAGUUUUUGAAUGAUCUCUUUAUGGUACUUGUUAAUAGUACCUACAUUCUUGUUACAAAAUGUUCCUCAGUGGAACUUCUACCUCUGAUUGAGUUUUUUGCAGUGAAAUACUGCUGCUAUGACUUAAAAUCACCCAUUGCUUGAUAAAUGCACUUUUAGAACUGCAUACAAGUUCAGUUUUUGAAUGAAAUCAGUAUGUUGUUGAGUUUAGGUGUUUGCUGUUGGAAUUAAUUUAAGUCUUAAUUGUAUCAAUUCUGUGCAUGCCUUGUCAACAUAAUCAAUGAAUCCUAGAUUUCCAACAGACGACUUAAUCAUAGAAAUGCAUUCCAAGGUUUUGGCAAGGAGCAUGUGGCCCGUAUUUUUAUUAGCGGUUACCAAGAAACACGACGAACUUAUUCACUAUUUUGUGCUGGGAAUGUGAAGUUGAUUUUGGAGAUGGUAGCUGAAAGUUUUUUUUAAAGACGCGGUACUAGUAUUUGAUUGAAAGAGAAGAGGAGAAUGCCAUAUUGAAAUAGUGCAAACAAUAUGUUGAAAUAGUAUGUUUAGUAGUUUGCUUUCUUUCUAUGUAUAUGAACUUCUCCCUUGAGGAAGGCCUCACUAUUGAUGUUGUAAAGAUAUUUUAUAUUUAGCUAUGUUAAUUAUAUAUAGAGAGAGAUAUUUUGCUUA